AUUGAACGCUGGCGGCAUGCUUUACACAUGCAAGUCGAACGGUAACAGGCCGCAAGGUGCUGACGAGUGGCGAACGGGUGAGUAAUGCAUCGGAACGUGCCCAGUCGUGGGGGAUAACUACUCGAAAGAGUAGCUAAUACCGCAUACGAUCUAUGGAUGAAAGCGGGGGACCGUAAGGCCUCGCGCGAUUGGAGCGGCCGAUGUCAGAUUAGGUAGUUGGUGGGGUAAAGGCUCACCAAGCCAACGAUCUGUAGCUGGUCUGGGAGGACGACCAGCCACACUGGGACGGAGACACGGCCCAGACUCCUACGGGAGGCAGCAGUGGGGAAUUUUGGACAAUGGGCGCAAGCCUGAUCCAGCAAUGCCGCGUGCAGGAAGAAGGCCUUCGGGUUGUAAACUGCUUUUGUACGGAACGAAACGGCUCUGGUUAAUACCCGGGGCUAAUGACGGUACCGUAAGAAUAAGCACCGGCUAACUACGUG
rnacentral:rRNA from 1 species